AAUUUAUACCGUGAAACUGCGAAUGGCUCAUUAAAUCAGUUAUCGUUUAUUUGAUAGUACCUUACUACUUGGAUAACCGUGGUAAUUCUAGAGCUAAUACAUGCUAAAAGCCCCGACUUCGGAAGGGGUGUAUUUAUUAGAUUAAAAACCAAUGCCCUUCGGGGCUCUUUGGUGAUUCAUAAUAACUUAACGAAUCGCAUGGCCUUGUGCCGGCGAUGGUUCAUUCAAAUUUCUGCCCUAUCAACUUUCGAUGGUAGUAUAUGGGACUACCAUGGUUUCAACGGGUAACGGGGAAUUAGGGUUCUAUUCCGGAGAGGGAGCCUGAGAAACGGCUACCACAUCCAAGGAAGGCAGCAGGCGCGCAAAUUACCCAAUCCCGACACGGGGAGGUAGUGACAAUAAAUACUGAUGCAGGGCUCUUUUGGGUCUUGUAAUUGGAAUGAGUACAAUUUAAAUCCCUUAACGAGGAACAAUUGGAGGGCAAGUCUGGUGCCAGCAGCCGCGGUAAUACCAGCUCCAAUAGCGUAUAUUAAAGUUGUUGCAGUUAAAAAGCUCGUAGUUGAACCUUGGGCCUGGCUGGCCGGUCCGCCUCACCGCGUGCACUGGUCCGGCCGGGUCUUUCCUCCUGGGGAGCCGCAUGCCCUUCACUGGGUGUGUCGGGGAACCAGGACUUUUACUUUGAAAAAAUUAGAGUGUUCAAAGCAGGCCUAUGCUCGAAUACAUUAGCAUGGAAUAAUAGAAUAGGACGUGUGGUUCUAUUUUGUUGGUUUCUCGGACCGCCGUAAUGAUUAAUAGGGAUGGUCGGGGGCAUCAGUAUUCAAUUGUCAGAGGUGAAAUUCUUGGAUUUAUUGAAGACUAACUACUGCGAAAGCAUUUGCCAAGGAUGUUUUCAUUAAUCAGGGAACGAAAGUUAGGGGAUCGAAGACGAUCAGAUACCGUCGUAGUCUUAACCAUAAACUAUGCCGACUAGGGAUCGGGCGAUGUUAUUUUUUUUUUGACUCGCUCGGCACCUUACGAGAAAUCAAAGUCU
rnacentral:rRNA from 1 species